rnacentral:rRNA from 1 species
GACGAACGCUGGCGGCGUGCCUAACGCAUGCAAGUCGAGCGGAGUCAGUAAGAGGAAGUUUUCGGAUGGAAUCUUAUUGAUUUAGCGGCGGACGGGUGAGUAACGCGUGAGCGACCAACCUUGCACAGGGGGAUAACGGACCGAAAGGUUCACUAAUACCGCAUGAGACCACGGUGUUGCAUGACACCGGGGUCAAAGGAGCAAUCCGGUGCAAGACGGGCUCGCGUCCGAUUAGGUAGUUGGGGGGGUAACGGCCCACCAAGCCUAUGAUCGGUGGCCGACCUGAGAGGGUGAUCGGCCACAUUGAGACUGAGAUACGGUCCUAACACCGACGGGAGGCAGAUGUGGGGAAUAUUGGGCAAUGGGGGAAACCCUGACCCAGCAACGCCGCGUGAAGGAAGAAGGUUUUCGGAUUGUAAACUUCUGUCCUUGGUGAAGAGAAGAAGACGGUAGCCAAGGAGGAAGCCCCGGCUAACUACGUGCCAGCCGCCGCAGUAA